AUGACGCGGUCCUAUUUGUGGACGCCCGCAGUGAUGCUUCUGGCUGCGUUUGUGGAGUGCGAGUCUUUGACGGCCUGUCGUGCCCGCCGCCCACGCCUGAGUCACUGCGCUUGCUCCUGGGUCUGGGGUUCAUCCACGGCCUCUCCCUCUUCCUGGCUCGAGCCGACUCAGCUCUCAGGCUUCCUGCAGGAGAGCGAGGCGACCGUCGGGCCGGGCCGGGCCGGGAGCAUGGGCCACCGAGGACAAGGCAGGCACACAAUGCAUGUGUGCUGCAGGGCUUCACGGACUCAGCGGAGCCCGACAGGCCUUUGCAGGUCCAGGGCUUCAACUGGACCUUGAGCCAAGUCGCAUGCCCCAGUUAUCUGAAUGACGCAAGUGAAACAGGAUGAUCCUUCGCUUGUGUCGCUGACAGAAGACACACCCAGCUGCUGUUGUGCUGUUGUGUGCAGCUCCCAUGCUUUAUCACUAACACCUAAUUACUGUCCAGCUUUUGUACCGUCGCAUGUUGGACUCAUCAGUGAAGAACAAAGCAGCUGUGACACUGGUGCCGAGUUUCAGGAAGCGAGAAAGCAAAAGCUAAACAGGAACAACUGAAUAGUGCUCACACAAUGGAAAUGUGAGUGUAGUGAAGUGGCUGCGUACGUUGGGCACAUAGCAGCUCUGCCGUCCCAAAGUAAUAAUAGGUUCCCCAGAGUAAUUAUAGCUUAAAAUUUAGAAACCAGAACCAGAAAAUAUCACAGUUUGCGGUUCCAAAGUCACUCUUCACUUAUUAAUGUCUUUUUCUCAGCAGUUGGAAAAUAUUUUUUUACUCUCAAAUUUAUUGAGCUCUUGGUCCGCGAGAAUGUGACCACUGCAAAUGAGUUUUAAAUGAGGUUUCUCACCAAAGCCCAAAGAAACGGACGGGGCAGAACGACGCAGCAGUUCACCUUCCAACGUAUGGUUUUAUCUGAGUCUCUUUCAUCUUCUGUGUGUUUCACCAGUCAGGUUCUCAUUCUGGCUCCUUGCCUUCAGUCCAUUCAAUAAAUUGUGUCACACCACUUGUUGUCA
rnacentral:lncRNA from 1 species